GAUGAACGCUGGCGGCGUGCCUAAUACAUGCAAGUCGAGCGAACGGACGAGAAGCUUGCUUCUCUGAUGUUAGCGGCGGACGGGUGAGUAACGCGUGGAUAACCUACCUAUAAGACUGGGAUAACUUCGGGAAACCGGAGAUAAUACCGGAUAAUAUUUUGAACCGCAUGGUUCAAAAGUGAAAGACGGUCUUGCUGUCACUUAUAGAUGGAUCCGCGUUGCAUUAGCUAGUUGGUAAGGUAACGGCUUACCAAGGCAACGAUGCAUAGCCGACCUGAGAGGGUGAUCAGCCACACUGGAACUGAGACACGGUCCAGACUCCUACGGGAGGCAGCAGUAGGGAAUCUUCCACAAUGGGCGAAAGCCUGACGCAGCAACGCCGCGUGAGUGAUGAAGGUCUUCGGAUCGUAAAACUCUGUUAUUAGGGAAGAACAUAUGUGUAAUUAACUGUGCACAUCUUGACGGUACCUAAUCAGAAAGCCACGGCUAACUACGUG
rnacentral:rRNA from 1 species